UACGUAGGGUGCGAGCGUUGCCCGGAUUUAUUGGGCGUAAAGGGCGCGUAGGCGGCCACGCACGUCCGUUGUGAAAUCGCCCGGCUCAACUGGGCGGGGUCAGCGGAUACGGUGUGGCUAGAGCAAGCUAGGGGGCAAUGGAAUUCCCGGUGUAGUGGUGGAAUGCGUAGAUAUCGGGAGGAACACCAGUGGCGAAGGCGGUUGCCUGGAGCUUUGCUGACGCUGAUGCGCGAAAGCGUGGGGAGCGAUCCAG
rnacentral:rRNA from 1 species